rnacentral:rRNA from 1 species
AGGGAAUCUUCCGCAAUGGACGAAAGUCUGACGGAGCAACGCCGCGUGAGUGAUGAAGGUUUUCGGAUUGUAAAGCUCUGUUGCCAGGGAAGAACGUCCUGUAGAGUAACUGCUACAGGAGUGACGGUACCUGAGAAGAAAGCCCCGGCUAACUACGUGCCAGCAGCCGCGGUAAUACGUAGGGGGCAAGCGUUGUCCGGAAUUAUUGGGCGUAAAGCGCGCGCAGGCGGCUGUUUAAGUCUGGUGUUUAAUCCUGGGGCUCAACCCUGGGUCGCACUGGAAACUGGACGGCUUGAGUGCAGAAGAGGAGAGUGGAAUUCCACGUGUAGCGGUGAAAUGCGUAGAGAUGUGGAGGAACACCAGUGGCGAAGGCGGUUCUCUGGACUGUAACUGACGCUGAGGCACGAAAGCGUGGGUAGCAAAC